rnacentral:snoRNA from 1 species
CUCUUCUCAUGAGCUCCUCUUAAUCUUACCCAUGAUUCUGCAUGGAUUCGCACGAGAAGUAGAGUCAGUGCACAGUAAGAACGGGCUCAUCCUAGUCACGUGUGGGUGCUGCACAUGUCUGCUGUGCAACAAGU